rnacentral:rRNA from 1 species
GACGAACGCUGGCGGCGUGCUUAACACAUGCAAGUCGAACGGAAAGGCCCUGCUUUUGUGGGGUGCUCGAGUGGCGAACGGGUGAGUAACACGUGAGUAACCUGCCCUUGACUUUGGGAUAACUUCAGGAAACUGGGGCUAAUACCGGAUAGGAGCUCCUGCUGCAUGGUGGGGGUUGGAAAGUUUCGGCGGUUGGGGAUGGACUCGCGGCUUAUCAGCUUGUUGGGGGGGUAGUGGCUUACCAAGGGUUUGACGGGUAGCCGGCCUGAGAGGGUGACCGGCAACAUUGGGACUGAGAUACGGCCCAGACUCCUCCGGGAGGCAGCAGUGGGGAAUAUUGCACAAUGGGCGGAAGCCUGAUGCAGCAACGCCGCUGGCGGGAUGACGGCCUUCGGGUUGUAAACCGCUUUCGCCUGUGACGAAGCGUGAGUGACGGUAAUGGGUAAAGAAGCACCGGCUAACUACGUG